GCGCCGGUAGCUCAGGGGACAGAGCGGCGGUCUUCGGAACCGCAAGUCGGGGGUUCGAAUCCCUCUCGGCGCACCA
rnacentral:tRNA from 2 species